rnacentral:rRNA from 1 species
AUCGAUGAAGAACGCAGCGAAAUGCGAUAAAUAAUGUGAAUUGCAGAAUUCAGUGAAUCAUCGAGUCUUUGAACGCACAUUGCGCCCCUCGGUAUUCCGGGGGGCAUGCCUGUUCGAGCGUCAUUACACCCCUCAAGCGUAGCUUGGUAUUGGGCUUCGCCCCCGCGGCGUGCCCGAAAAACAGUGGCGGUCCGGCGUGACUUUAAGCGUAGUAAAUUUUCAUCCCGCUUUGAAAGCUCAAUCCGUGGCCUGCCAGACAACCCAAAAUUUCAAUCAUUGACCUCGGAUCAGGUAGGGAUACCCGCUGAACUUAA